CUGAAUUCCCAUAUCACCCCGGCCUUGUAGAUCGUAACCAUUGUAAACAGCGAGCCAUCCGAAAUUUGACGAUCUGGUCGUCUCAACAGAUCGCCGCCUGUUAAUACAGGUGUAACUGAAAGGUGAAACAGACUACAGUAUGAAGGUGCUACAGGGCCGAAAAUGGACAUUGUUGUUGUCCAUAAUUGUGACGUGUGUGCAUGCCAAAGCGGUGGACUCCGAUGAUUUGUCAUGGAAGAUAGACGGAAUCAAAUAUUCCGACAUCCCUGUGGAGUUUCGACUAGCCGCUUACAUGCUCGAGGUACGCUCUAACCUCUUGGCAUGUCGACACAGAUCUAGGGAUUUACCAGCCACUUGUCCAAAUCAAGAAUGUGUGGAUGUUUUGAAGAAAUAUGAAGACUGGCGAGAAGCAAAUGGUUAUGGUAUUGCCAGCGGACGAUGGGGCUAAGUCCCAAGCUGAAGGAAUGGAAUGCAAUGUGCUCUAAGACAAUUUAAUGUUCGUUGUGUUGCUGAUGUGGUAUCGCCAGUUUAUAGCAUUUUCUUUUUGACUAGUACGCAAUCUUUCCCUUUUAUAAACUGCAAACAGCAAAAGGAACAAUAAGAGGUUAAUAAAUGUGCUAAGUUUUUAGGUUUUGUCUUCGUUACAACAAUGAUAAAAUUUGAUUAAAAUAAUUCAGUUACAAAAUCUUAAGCAGUGUUUUUAAGCACGUCGAUUUUAAAGAACCGAUAGGACAGUUUACAAUUUCCUUGCAAUGUAGAGUUGUUAACAAAGACAACAUCAUACGAAAUGACAUUAUGGCACUGUUUUAUGUCAUAUUUUCUUUCAAUGUUCUUGAUGUGAAACUGGCGAAAUCCAAAAGUUUACUGCCUACUAAACAACUUUUAAUACAAAUCACAUGGUGUUAUUCUAUACAGGACAUGACGGGGGCAGAAUUAGUGGGAGCUUUCUUCAUUAAGCCACACGUCAUAUAGCAUUUGACAGAUGCGUUAUUUUGAUAGUGGGGUUUCUUUGUUACGUGUAAGUCUGUACUUGAAGCAGUCUGUUUGCCAUCUGGUAUUCCAAAAGAUAAAGGUAAAUGACUUAAAUA